GGCCCCUGCGACUCCUGGUGCCCGGCUGGGACACGUGGGGCCGGCUUUGCGGAGUCAGCAGGGCCAAGGUGCGCGGGGUGCGCUCCCCCCCGGAACCCCGCCCCUUCUCACCCCAUCUCGCUUUUUUGGGAGAGGAGAGUGGAGCCGUCAGCACCCACUGGCAGUGUCGGUGCUGUGCUGGGAGUCCUCCCAGACCAGCCCACUCCUCCUGGUUUGAGCUUCCGAUCCAUCCCUACUCCUUUACGGUUCUUCUUCCCCGUAGUUAACCUGCGGAGAGGAGGAGGUACUGUCUCCGCACAAGGUACUGCGGAGGUACCUUGCGGAGGAACCUUGCGGAGGAGGUACUGCGGUGGGGAGGCAGGGGGGAGGCGCAUCUGCCUCCGCACAAGGGGUCUAAUGGCUUGCUUAUUCCUUCUAGGCCAGGUUGAAAGGUUUUUAAAAGCAGGUGGGGGUGCCAGGAUAGUGAGAAAAACAAGAAAAGACACUGCUUUUUACCCCAUGCGGGGCAGAGCUGGUCUCCUUUCUGCAGGUGUUGAGGGGAGUUGAGUAGGAGCCCAGAGCUGGUACAGGCCCCGUUUAACGUGCCCCCGCAGAGUGAGGGCUGGGGGUCACCCCAUAGGCAGGGGAGCCCUUCUGGGAGGGAAUUCCUGCUUAGGUGGGAGGUUGACCUGAAUGACAUCUAGGUCCUCUACCUCCCAGAUGCCGAAUUUUCAGGGAAGGAACCAAAUGGAUGUAUGGCCCAUGCCUGGGUUUGAAUCCCAGUUCUGGCCUUCAUUCCUCCAGGCCUCCAUUUCCUUGUCUGCACUAUGGGGCCAUGGUGAGAACUCUGAAAUAACACCAACUGCCUGGUGCUUGGUAGGUGCCACAUUACAAAAGCGGUGGGAAGGAGGCCCUUUGGUUUCCAUGUCGGUGGUCAUGUCCCACAGUCCCCGUUGCCAUCCUGAUUAUGGAAAACUUCAUUUCAUGCUCCAAAUGUUCCUCAAUUCCUGGCACUGUUCUAGGUCCUGCACCCAGGCUGGUAUGAAAAAGGUGCCGAGAAGGUCCCAUGCAUCACCAGCCUGGAGGUAGCAGCAGAAGGGAAACCAGUGCCUCUGAGAGUGGGCAACUGUGCCCCAUCCACCUCCUCUUCUUCUUGGAGAUCUCAAGAUAAGACAAGAGACAUCAACCUGGGAUUGGGUUUCUGGGCAGAGAGUAAAAGUGAGCUCCUUCUGCCUGUGCACGCAGCUUCCCUCGGUACUGGGAUAGCCGAGAUCCCUUACUAGAAGCAGCUCACAAAACCUCCCCCAGUUACUGGGAUAGCCCAGACACCUUCCUAGGGCAGCAGCGGAAGAAAGAAGGGGACAAAAUACCAACGACCAGAAAGAAGAAAGAACUUAGCCUCAGUCACCAGCCACUGGGAGCUGAUAGUAACUGAAGGGAUGGAAAGCCCUCUGGGACAGUUUUAGUGGGAGCCCUCCAGAGCCUGGAGAGACUGCAGGUGGAGCAGGAAGGUGGGGAAGAAUUAGAGCAGUGACCCCGGCCACUUUUGGCCUCACGGUUCUGCACAAUGAGACAUUGCUCAUCUUCAGAGAACCGUGCCAUUCUGGCCAUCUGGCAUCCUAGACAAUUUUCCACUGUCUCUCAGUAUCCAGCCAUCCAGCCAUCUAGCCUCCUAACUACUUCUCUGUGCUGGUCCAGCCCAGUGCUCAGAGUUAGGAUAUUUUUAUGAAUAAAACAGACCUAGCUUCUGCCCUCGUGGAGCUUACAGCGUGGGGCGAAAGGAGACUGAUCAAAAUGCCACACACAUGUAAUUUACAACCUUGGGAAGUGCCAAGAAGGGGAAGUGUUGGGUGCCACUGAGAACAUUCACAGAGGUUAACCUGGGGCUGAGGUGGAGGAAAGGUCAGAUGGAAGCUGUCUAACCACCCUGGGCUUCUGGCUUAGGAUGUGUAGGGCUAGCAGCUCAGCCCAUGAGGUUGUGUCUUGAACUUGGGUAUUGAUGGAAUAGCUAUAGAAACAGAACAACCAUGAAGUGAAGAUGGUGAAUGAAGAUCCUCUCAUCAGCUUGCGAUUGCAUGACAGAGGAGGCUGCAAGGACACUCAGGUGUGAAGACGGGUGAGUUGCCAGUUCUGGAGUGCAGAUGUGGUUACCAGCAGCCUCUGUUUUGGAGGCUACUCUGAAGCCAUAUUCAGCUUGGGAGGCCUCCUGCAGGGUUGACCCAGUUCUGGAACAAACCAAGGUGUUUGGGUCUGAACCAGGGCCUGAGCAGAUCCCAUCCCAUAUCCAGCUGAACUGUCUCACCCAGUCUGCAUUGAGUAUCGGUCCCAAGUGGAGGCCACAGGAAGAAGUGCUGUUCCCUAGUGGUCUUAGAUGCUUCAUCAGCUAAAGCGUGGGGCUCAGUCUCCUGGUGUCCACCUGUAAAAUGAAAGUGGUGUCCCAGAGUCUCUCCAAAGCUCCUUGUGGUGACUCUAUGGUCCUAAGAAACCGUUCACUUUAUAGGCCUAUCUCAGUGCACAGCUGAUGCCUCUGAUGCAGGGGUGGCUGUGGCUGUGCUGCCGCUCCUAUGGGGGAGGCAUCCUGGCCAGCACGCUCUUUGCACCUGAUGACUCCCUACGGCAGCUGCACAGCACUGCAGUUAGAAGCCCAGGCCACGUGGAUUUCAGCCCCGGCCCUACCACUCAGUAGCUGUGUGACCCUGGGCCAGGUGUUUGACCUCCCAAGGCACCCAUUUCCUCAUGGAGGUAAUAAUAGUAUCUAUAACCUCAGUUUACCACACGGAUGAAAAGACAAUGCAUGUAAGGGUUCCUCCGCGGCACCUGGCUCAGUGAGCAAUCUGUAAUUGUGAGCUGUUGUCAUUAAGAGGCCGUGGGAACACUAGUCGGUGGUGUGUAUAUCCAGGGGUGGGUGUUGCUUCUGGCAUCUCUCCUAAAUUCAAGCUGAUGAUGAAAGUCAUCAGAGAGACAGAACAAAAUACCCCACAAGCUAUGACAAAAGGAACCUGUAUUUCAUAAAUCAGAGAAGAGUAAAGGACAGAGACCAAAGCCAAUAACUAGUGUUUAAACAUGCAGAGAGAAAGAGAGACAGAGAGAGAGAUGUUUCCUCUGCCUUCCACUACCAUGGGCAGGUGGGAAAUACCACCGACCCUGGGGACCCUGGGAUGGUCCCUGAGUGGGCCGUGUGCCAGGAGCCUGGCCAGAGAGCCAAGAGUGGUCAUGGCCCCCUGGGAGUUCUACUCUUUUCUAGGCAGCAGCAGUGACUGAGACCUUGUACACAAAACUCAUUCAUUCAAUCAGUAUUUAUCUAGGACUUCCAGAAACAGUGCUAAGCUGUGCUGGAGAGUGAUAGUAAAAAAGACACAGUCCCUACCAGCGAGAGACAUUGGGUCCAGCUGAUGAGUAAGACAAGCCAACAGAGUAGGGCAACAAGACCAGGAUCCCUUCGGGGCAUUACUGAGCACACGGCCUCGGUCUGGAAUUCUGGACACAUUCUUCACCUUAACUGGGGGUGCAUUGGGGAUUUAAAACCCCCAAGAGCCAGGGAUCUUUCCCACCCAAGCUAAUUUCUGGGCAGCUGUGCCACUGCAGGGCAUGCAGAAGGAAGAGAGCCUUCCAGAGGAAAGUCGCCUUGUUCCUUGCUUUGUGACCCUCAUCUCUGCGAGGUAGAGAAGAAAAGGAGGGCUCUUCCAUCGGGAGCUUCCAAGGUUCCGGGUGAGAGCUAGCCAGCUCUGCAUUUGGAGCAGAGAGAGCAGUCCAUUCAACAUGGCAAUGCCCACACCCACCUCACAAGGCAUGGAUGACACAAAGAGAUGGCUUGCCUGCAAGAGACCCAGCUGGUCUGGAGUUGGAGGCACACUUCAUUUCUCUGCCCAGCUCGGCAGGCGGCUGGAGCAAACCAGGAGAUCGCCUCAAAUGUUUUAAAUGUCAAUAUGGUCCCUUCUUGCUGGCUUGCCAAGAUUUGACCAGCUAAAUUGGCCUGUGUGGUGUGUUCCCUGCAGUGCACGAUGAGAUAAAAAUGACUGGGCAUCCAGAUUAAUGACUGGAUCACAUGCAGGAACGUACUGGCUGUGAGCAGCCCUGGGCCAGGGCAGAGGUGAACUUGACAAUCAUGUGGACGCUGGCUUUUGAUUACUGCUUCUUCUGGGCUCACGCUACCCAGGGCUCUCUUUAGACCAUCUCUAGGUGAACUUUCUGCCCCAGGAAUGAUCACCUCCAUUUUACUGGUGAGAGGUUCAAGGACUUCCCUUCCUUCUUUCCUCCCUUCCCCUUCUCUCCACUUCCUUCUCCUUCCCUCCUACAUCAUUUUUCCCUUUCCUUUCUUCCUCCCUUCCUUUAGCAAAUAGCCCUGGAGCAGCUGACCGGUUCUAGGAGCUGAGAACAGGGUGAUGGGUAAGAGGGACAAGGGCUUGCUCUCACGGUGUUUACAUUCUAGUGGGGGCAGGAGACAAGUCAACAGAUCAAUAAUUUCAGAUAAGAACAGCUGCUCUAAGAAGAACAACUGGGGAGUGAGAUGCAGUCCACUUUAGGCCGGUGGUUGGGGACGGCUUCUCUUGAGAGGUGGCAUUUAGGGGACUAAAUGGUAACAAUGAGCUGGCCUUGGGCAGGUCUGGGGGCAGAGCCAUCAGUGCCAGGGCACAGAGCUAGGAAAUGCAGAGCAGCUGGUACCCACGACUGGUCUUGCCUGAACCCCUAAUCCUUGCUCUUUCUGCCACAUCCUGCUUUCCCACUUGGCCAAAGAAUUGUGGUUGGCCAAAGGUGGGGCUAAGCUGUGCAGUGGGAGGGGCCAGGCUGAGCUGGAGGUGGCCAGGAGCCUCCUGGUACAGGGCCCUGGUGCCAGUGUCCUCACCCUCCCAGAAUCCUGUUCAUUUGUGUUGAGGACAUGGGGUGAAGGAUCUGAAAAUGCAUGCGCAGGCAGACGACCCACCCAGGCCAUUCACAGCCGCAGCAGUUUGGGACUCUCCGCUUGGCCCAGGUAGGGAGGCACUUGCGGUCCUUCCCAGGCCUGCCGUGAGGCUCCAGGGCCAGCGCCUAUCCCCAGCCCCAAGGAGGCACUCCGAAGAACCUAUUUUAAAUCUCAGCUCAGCAUUUUUGGCCAACUUACAGAGAAGCUGCAAGAUGAGUAAAGGAACUUGCCUAUAUUUUUUAUCUAGAUUUACCAGUUGUUGACAUUUGCCCAUCUGCUUUGUCAUUGGUGCUCUCUCUAUUCUGUGUGUGUGUGUGUGUGUGUGUGUGUGUGUGUGUGUGUGUGU
rnacentral:lncRNA from 1 species